CCUACGGGAGGCAGCAGUGAGGAAUAUUGGUCAAUGGACGAGAGUCUGAACCAGCCAAGUAGCGUGAAGGAUGACUGCCCUAUGGGUUGUAAACUUCUUUUAUAUGGGAAUAAAACGUUCCACGUGUGGGAUUUUGUAUGUACCAUAUGAAUAAGGAUCGGCUAACUCCGUGCCAGCAGCCGCGGUAAUACGGAGGAUCCGAGCGUUAUCCGGUUUUAUUGGGUUUAAAGGGAGCUUAGGUGGAUUGUUAAGUCAGUGGUGAAAGUUUGCGGCUCAACCGUAAAAUUGCAGUUGAAACUGGCAGUCUUGAGUACAGUAGAGGUGAGCGGAAUUCGUGGUGUAGCGGUGAAAUGCUUAGAUAUCACGAAGAACUCCGAUUGCGAAGGCAGUUCACUGGACUGCAACUGACACUGAGGCUCGAAAGUGUGGGUAUCAAACAGGAUUAGAUACCCCAGUAGUC
rnacentral:rRNA from 1 species